rnacentral:miRNA from 1 species
UGAGGUUUUGUUUGCCAGAUAUG